AACAUACAUUUUGCAUGAUAAGAAACUCCACUCUUGCCUACCUGCAGUCCGCUGAGCCUUUGGACCACUUCGGCCAUGAUCGUUUGUCCGGGUAAUGGCUUCCACCAGUUCCACUGGAGUUCCUUCACCACAGAUUUUCUUCUCAAAGGCGUGCUGAGAACGAACGUUGACCCAGAGCUGUAUCAAAGUGUCUCACCUGAGAAUCGUGGCCUCUGGUGUCUGAAUCCAACCUUCCUUACCGAGAAGAACCUUCUCCAAUAUGUCAACAAUUACCUCUGACCAUCAGCAAUAAUAUCCGUGUUUUAACAUGAGCCAGGACACCGAACAAUGAUACAGAAGCAAUCAUCACUUCCAUACAGGUAAAAAAGGGAAAAUGUUAUCGGAGCAUCUUGGCUGUUCAAGUGAAGUGUGCUUCACUUCAGUUGAUUAGGAAACAAAUUUAUUAUCAGCCACUACACAGAACAACACUUUAUUUGUCUAGAAAUUCCCUAACAUGACAUUACACAAUUAAUUGGACAGCCACUGUCCCUAAGGGCAGACGAGGACAGAUGAAUUGCAUCCUGGGAUAGCUUUGAACUGUUAUAGUAA